AUACGAAGGGGGCAAGCGUUGUUCGGAAUAACUGGGCGUAAAGCGCACGUAGGCGGAAGGUUAAGUUAGAGGUGAAAUCCCAGGGCUCAACUUGGGAAUUGCCUUUGAUACUGUCAAUCUAGAGACCGAGAGAGGUGAGUGGAAUUCCCAGUGUAGAGGUGAAAUUCGUAGAUAUUGGGAAGAACACCAGUGGCGAAGGCGGCUCACUGGCUCGGUACUGACGCUGAGAUGCGAAAGCGUGGGGAGCAAACAGGAUUAGAAACCCUAGUAGUCC
rnacentral:rRNA from 1 species